rnacentral:rRNA from 1 species
UACGUAGGGGGCGAGCGUUGUCCGGAAUUACUGGGCGUAAAGGGAGCGUAGGCGGCGUAUUAAGUAGCAUGUGAAAACCCCGGGCUUAACUCGGGAGGUGCAUGCUAAACUGGUAUGCUAGAGUGCAGGAGAGGGAAGCGGAAUUCCUAGUGUAGCGGUGAAAUGCGUAGAUAUUAGGAGGAACACCAGUGGCGAAGGCGGCUUUCUGGACUGUAACUGACGCUGAGGCUCGAAAGCGUGGGAGCAACAGG